rnacentral:rRNA from 1 species
ACGAAGGGGGCUAGCGUUGUUCGGAAUCACUGGGCGUAAAGCGCACGUAGGCGGAUGUGCCAGUCAGGGGUGAAAUCCCGGAGCUCAACUCCGGAACUGCCUCUGAUACAGCACGUCUUGAGUUCGAGAGAGGUGGGUGGAAUUCCUAGUGUAGAGGUGAAAUUCGUAGAUAUUAGGAAGAACACCGGUGGCGAAGGCGGCCACCUGGACGGUCACUGACGCUGAGACGCGAAAGCGUGGGUAGCAAACAGGA